GACCAUUUCAACUAGUUUUAUUUCCGGAUAUCCCUUUAAGCUCCCGUUUUAGUAUAAUAACUAGUAUAAUCAAGGAUUAUAACUUGGACUUCUAAUAUGUCGACAUGGAUAAACAGCCUCAAGUCAACUUUGUUAUGCAGAUUGUUGAGAGCAAUAUGAUGAGGAAAGGCAGGAAAGAGUCUUAUUGUCUGGGAUGUGAUUGACCUGGCAGCUGGAGGGCUGAAACCAUUUCGGACAUUGGGGAACUUUUGGGGUCAAAAGCACACUGCCGUAGAAGAAAAACUGGCCCAAAAGCACAUGAUUGAUGUGUGAUGCUGAUAAUACAGAGACAGCUAGAGUGACAGAGUUUGAUGAAUAAACUUAAAUUAAAAAACAGAAAUAACCACCAUCUCUCUCAGAGGUCGUCUUUCUCAUUAUUGUGGGGAAACCUCAAAGGGCAUCAGGAAAACCUUCAUUAACCUCUUUGUGCCCAGUGGCUUUUGCAACAGUGUUUCAGAAAUUAUCAUUAAAAUGGGGAUAUUAUGGAUGACUGGCCACACAUAUGGGGCUAUGGACAAGCUUCAGAGCAGGCUGCAAGCUACAUUAGAUGACAAGCCAUCUAUGCUGGACAUUCUUCACAAUAAAAUGUGAUGUCACAGGAGCUGUCUAUCUCAACAGCUCACACUGUCCGUAUUUGACUAAAGGAAUGAAUGAAGUCACUGCAGAAGUUGGAUUGAGGAAUGUCCAUGUCACUACCCAUCAUUUGGAAGGAGUUGGAUAAAAAAAGUGUGGCCUAUGUAUUGAAACUGGUCCGACAUUCCAGUUACGGACAGUCUUGAUUUGUUUGAUUACAUUUCUGACCAAUAUGAUGGUCUAAAAGAACACUUACUGGUAACUGGUAAAAUCAUGGCCCAGUUGUUCCAAGAGGCAGGCGAGUUGGAAGUUACUAGACUCCAUUUCUUUAUGGGUUGAUCUGAGGUUCCAGUUCAGUUAAAGUACUGAUGGAACACCAAGUGUUUGCCAUAAUACAGCAACAUUUGAUUUGUAACUAUGUAUUUGUUUGAAUUGUUGAAACAGUACUGUUUACUAAAUAAUGUGUAUAUAUAUGAAGAAUAAUAUUAUUAAUAAUUUGUAAGAACCUUUUGAUAUUAAGUAAAAUGUCGAUAAGUCUAAAUAUGUAUCUGUAAAUCAUUUUUGUAUAUCUGUAAAGAUUACAUUGCCUUUAUUCCUCACUUUAUAUUUUUCUUUUAGCCAGUCAAUAACUUUUCUUAAGUUCUAUCUUCAAAAUUGUCAGGACAGGGAUUAUAGCCCUUAAUUAACCCAAAUAUGUAACAUUCAAUGCAAAAUUUCUAAUUGGCAGUUCCGAUGCAGGAACAAACAUCACUUGGGUCCUUAAUAAUAGCUUUCCAUCUGACAAGGUCCUAUAAAAGGAAUUUGGCAUGUCGACUGUUUAUUAAUUCUCAAUUUAUUGAAAGUGAAAUUACUUACAUGAUUUGUAAGAACUAAAUUAUAUUGAUAUCAAAUGAUUGUUUAAAUUAAAUAAAAUAGAUGAUUACAUACAUGAACUAUUUUUAUUUCUUGUUUGUCAAUAUGAAGAGUAAUGCAAUGGCUUUUGAAUUUCAUAAAAGAAAAGGAUGGACAAAAUGUAUGUUUAAUGUUUAAGCAAUUAAUUACGUAAUAAAAGUAUUUUUUUCUCUUUUUUCAAACUGUGCUAUCAUAUAAUACAGAUCGUUAUUUGUUUAAUUUUGGUACAAAUGAAGUAUAUAAGGUAUGUCUAAUGUGACAAAUAGCAAAAAUUCAAAUGCAAAUCAUGGUGACUUGACUAAAUGUGAAUGCUAAUUGAAUCAAAAUAGUUAAUAAAUAAUAAUGUUCAUUUGAAACAAUUGAGAGUGUAAGUUUGGUUUGUGUAUGCCAUAUAUUCCCCAGGGGGGGGGGGGGGGGAAUCCCCAACCUAAUAAAUUAAUAAUGAAAAGUAUAUUACUAUGCGCAGUGCUAUAAUAAUUCAUUUAUUAAAAUAAGUAAAUGUGCUAAGUAAAAUUUGUAAAAAUUCUGUCUUGUUUUUUUAUGUAUUAUUUAUUUAUCAUAUGCAUUGACAAUUGAUUAUAAUUUCAUAAUAUAUUAAUUAUUCCUUUAUUGUAUGUUUUCUAGAUCAUUAAAUAAAUUUAAGUAAAUAUGCAUUCAGAUUUCUGUAUUUAGUCUUAAAUAAUAAAUGUUGAUAUUG